UUGCUACAGAGUUCCUGAACCGGCUACUGCCGAUUGAGUGGCUGUGGGACUUGUUGGCUCAGGCCUGGCUGGGGUUCUGGAAGGUCAGAGGGAGGAUGAGCAGAGGCCUCGAAAAUCUUGCAGCCAAUGUUUCAGAGCAGUAAUUCUCCGCCUCAUCUUC